rnacentral:rRNA from 1 species
GAUGAACGCUAGCGGCAGGCUUAACACAUGCAAGUCGAGGGGUAGGUUACUUCGGUAAUUGAGACCGGCGCACGGGUGCGUAACGCGUAUACAAUCUACCUUUUACAGAGGGAUAGCCCAGAGAAAUUUGGAUUAAUACCUCAUAGUAUUUUUGAAUCGCAUGAUUUGAUUAUUAAAGUUCCAACGGUAAAAGAUGAGUAUGCGUCCCAUUAGCUAGAUGGUAAGGUAACGGCUUACCAUGGCUACGAUGGGUAGGGGUCCUGAGAGGGAGAUCCCCCCACACUGGUACUGAGACACGGACCAGACUCCUACGGGAGCAGCAGUGAGGAAUAUUGGACAAUGGGGCGCAAGCCUGAUCCAGCCAUGCCGCGUGCAGGAAGAAGGUCCUAAUGGAUUGUAAACUGCUUUUAUACAAGAAGAAACACUCCCUCGUGAGGGAACUUGACGGUACUGUAUGAAUAAGGACCGGCUAACU